UUUAACCUUGUUUUGUGGGAUACUUAUCUUUUUUUGAAAUUUAAAUUUAAAUUACUCUGUCCAGAUUGUUUGUUUAUAAUUAAUGUUUUUAUCUUAUUUUAAAUCUUAUAAUAAAUGUUUGCUAGGAUAUACGUCUUUUUUUCCUUUAUUUUUGGAUAAAUUAAAUUUAAUAUUCUUAAGUUGUUUGUUAAUUUUAUAACUAAAAUGUUCUACAUUUGUGGUUUAAUUAUUUAUAGGUAUAAUUUUUAAUUUAAAAAUACAUUAAUUAAACUGAAAAAUUAAUUUUUGAUCAAAAAUUAAACUGAAUUUUUGAUUUAAUUUUUGUCACCUACUGCUGCUAUGAUGACGUUUCUGCUGUGAAAAAGGUUGGAUGUUGCUCUGCAUAGUUUGUGGAAUAAAAAGUCCUAGUGUUUGUUGCUCUACAUUAUCUGGUGCAUCAAUGUAGUCAUUUGUUGUGGUUAUCUGUUGUAUAUAUUCCAUGAGAGACAUUAAUCUUUGUAGUAUUAUCUCUUCAUGGCCAUCAAUCGAUAUAGUGGUAUUGUUGGCAUAAGGCUUAAGUUUAUGGCUAUGUGAAUGGUUUGGUGACAUUCUCCUUUUCAUAUGCAGAUAGUAUAUUGAAACAAAUUGGUUAUGAAAAUCAUAUGAAAGUUGCCACUUGUGACUAUUCCAAGCUAUAUUUCCAUUGCCAAGAGUUUAAAUGCUUUGCUAGGGUGACAUUCUGUAAUUUAGUAUGAGCAAGGAUCCCACCUGUGUAGGAGAAAUUCUUCUCUUUAAUAAAGAGUGAGUUGCUCUAUAUGCUAGUUAAUAGAAUACCCUGCAUUACAUGCCUAAUCAAUUUUAUUUUUCUUCAUUAUCUCUACAUAAGAAUUUUCCAGUCUAAUUUACAGCAUUGGUUCUAGUGUUGAGAGGAAGUUCUUAUUUAUUAUGGGUUUGCAGGAAAUUUCAUGGCAGAGGCUUGAUGAUCUCUUGCCAACAAGUGGUAAUAUUAUUUAUUGUGGGAACACUGGCCUAAAUCCUUAUACAGUGGCCCCUUAUCUCCGAUUUUGGGAUCUUUUAUGAUUUUAUUAGAGUGAUGGCUAAUGAUUUUCAGUAUGAUUAACAGUACAAAUCAUUGGAUCUGAAAGUUAUAAACUGGCACAUUUUUCAUUCUCUUCUCAGUCCAGAUAUAUAGUUUUUUCUUAUUUCUUGAAGCUCAUAUUAAAACAGAACAUAAUGCUUUAUAUAUAUUCUUCAGAGCUUAUUUUUUCUGGCAUUUGUCUUUGUAUUAUUACAGAUGACUGGUCACUUGGCUACACUUCAAUUUCUGGAGGGGAAGACUUUUGCAUUGGGGGUCAUCGCUUGAAUGUCGUUUUUUCUCCGAAUGGAACUCUGCUACAAUUGUGAGUAUUGGCCCGCCAAA